UUAAAAUAAAAAGUAAAUAAAACUCAAAAAAUGUACAAUGUUAGAUUUAUUAGUACAAGAAUUCAUUAUUUAAUAAAAUUCUCAUUCUCCCAUUGUUGUCAAUGAAGUAGUACACAUCUUCAAUUUUUCAAUUCUUCUUUGGUACCUAAAAUAUAAAUUGUAAGGAGUUAAUUUCCAUUAAAUCACAAUCCAUAUGAUAAAACUAAUUAAACUACACAAAAAAUUAAAAAAAAAAUGUAAAUAUAGAAUUCCUUUAAAAGAAAUAAAACAGACACUUAUCAACCUUUGCAAAAGGAUUUAUUCUCAAACAUUCAUAAAGAAAAUCUAAUCGUAAAACAUCUGAAGGAAACCCGAUAAAUUUUUUGUAGACACCAAUUAUUUUUUAAUGACAAAAAUAUAUAUUUAAUGGAAUAAACAUCGUGCAAUAGGUAAGAACAUAGAAACAAUAAAAAAAAGAGUACCAUGGGAAUUUUUUUUUUCUACAUGGUACUUAAAAACCCAAACACAUAAAACACAAUAAUAAAAACCAAAAACAAAUUCAAAACCAACACCCCCACCAAACCCACUUGACUAUCCAACCUGCACCAAACAUGAUCACUAGUCUCUAUCGACUCCAGCACAAAACAUGUCUGUAAAUCAAACUUAUAGACGAAGCAAAGACCCAACACCAAUUAACAUGAUCAACUACCUAAUUGAAAAUCUCAUUAAAAAAAAUCUAGUGGAAUAUAACCUUGAUGAAGAAAAAAUAGAUAGAGACAAAAGGACCAUAUCAUUUGAACUUAAACUCAACCAACCCUAUAGCCCGCCUAUUUCGAUUAUAAACUUCUAACACUCACUUUACGUAGUAUACGAACAUGAUUCCACCAUGUUUCUUGAAAUUUUUUUAAAAAAAUUCAAAUUAUUAGGUACACUUGAUAUAGAAUCAUGAUAGAGUUUUCCUCACCCAUUGAAUACAUUUACAAAUGGUCUUCAUACACUCCGGACGUUCCAUAUGUCCAGGGCACAUUUCUCUUGGGCAAUCAAAAUCAAUAAAACAUCUAUAAAUCGCUGUAGUAAAAAAAAGAAGAAUAAAUGAGUAUAACUAAAAUCGAACAAAAUUUCGAGAGUGAAGUUAAAAAGAAAAUUUUAAAAUGUAAAAAAGAAUUUACGGUUGGAGUUCGUCGCUAUAAAAAAUAGAGAAAGAAAGAUAAACAUAGCAUAAACAAAUUUGUCAAUUUCAACCAUAAUUCCUCCCUUUGCAUGCAACAAAUAUUUGUAUCACUUUGUAAUUUAUAAAGCUCAUCUUGUCCUUAGACCAUUUAAAUAGAUUUUUUUUUAAUAACAUUUAAAUAGGUUUUAGA
rnacentral:lncRNA from 1 species